rnacentral:misc_RNA from 1 species
CGCACCUUGCGCCCUUUGGUAUUCCGAAGGGCACACCUGUUUGAGUGUCGUGAAAUUCUCAACCCCCUUCACUUUUGUGAAAGCUGGGGCUUGGACUUGGAGGCCUUGCCGGCUUGUUCGGCUCCUCUCAAAUGCAUUAGUACGUCUCGUUGCGAUGUGCGCCUCGGUGUGAUAAUUAUCUACGCUGUGUGUGUUGCUCGCUUCUUGUGGGAUGCGCUUCAAACCGUCCGAAAGGACAACCAUCUUGAAACUUGACCUCAAAUCAGGUGGGACUACCCGCUGAACUUAA